rnacentral:rRNA from 1 species
GACGUAGGGCGCGAGCGUUGUCCGGAUUUAUUGGGCGUAAAGAGCUCGUAGGCGGCUUGUUGCGUCGACUGUGAAAACCCGCGGCUUAACUGCGGGCUUGCAGUUGAUACGGGCAGGCUAGAGUUCGGUAGGGGAGACUGGAAUUCCUGGUGUAGCGGUGGAAUGCGCAGAUAUCAGGAGGAACACCGAUGGCGAAGGCAGUUCUCUGGGCCGUAACUGACGCUGAGGAGCGAAAGCGUGGGGAGCGAACAGG